rnacentral:rRNA from 1 species
GAUGAACGCUGGCGGCGUGCCUAAUACAUGCAAGUCGAGCGAACAGACGAGGAGCUUGCUCCUUUGACGUUAGCGGCGGACGGGUGAGUAACACGUAGGUAACCUACCUAUAAGACUGGGAUAACUUCGGGAAACCGGAGCUAAUACCGGAUAAUAUUUCGAACCGCAUGGUUCGAUAGUGAAAGAUGGCUUUGCUAUCACUUAUAGAUGGACCUGCGCCGUAUUAGCUAGUUGGUAAGGUAACGGCUUACCAAGGCAACGAUACGUAGCCGACCUGAGAGGGUGAUCGGCCACACUGGAACUGAGACACGGUCCAGACUCCUACGGGAGGCAGCAGUAGGGAAUCUUCCGCAAUGGGCGAAAGCCUGACGGAGCAACGCCGCGUGAGUGAUGAAGGUCUUCGGAUCGUAAAACUCUGUUAUUAGGGAAGAACAAACGUGUAAGUAACUGUGCACGUCUUGACGGUACCUAAUCAGAAAGCCACGGCUAACUACGUG